GUGGGUAUAACUCAGUGGUAGAGUGCAUGCUUAGUAUAUGGGAGGUCCUGGGUUCAAUCCCUAGUACUUCCA
rnacentral:tRNA from 1 species